rnacentral:rRNA from 1 species
UACGUAGGGUGCAAGCGUUGUCCGGAAUUAUUGGGCGUAAAGAGCUCGUAGGCGGUCUGUCACGUCGGGCGUGAAAAUCCAGGGCUUAACCCUGGACCUGCGCUCGAUACGGGCAGACUAGAGUUCGGUAGGGGAGACUGGAAUUCCUGGUGUAGCGGUGAAAUGCGCAGAUAUCAGGAGGAACACCGGUGGCGAAGGCGGGUCUCUGGGCCGAUACUGACGCUGAGGAGCGAAAGCGUGGGGAGCGAACAGG